ACUCCAGCCACAUCUCCAUUAGAGCUGCUCCAGAACAGCCCUGAGAUCAGACCCCUCAGGUCCCUCCAGGUGCACAGUAGGUGGGCAGGGUAUUCGGGCUGUGCUGAGGAACAUGUGUAAGACCCCUGGGGUGUCUAGCCCCUGCAGUCUAGGGUAAUCAAAGUCCAAACCUCCAGGAGUGGAACUGCAGCAGCUGUAGCUCAGUGCUGCCUGCUGGGCUGACCCUGUAAGUCAGAGGCCACAUAUAGGUCAAGGGAGGUUUGAAAACGGGAUCAUUCAGAGAUGGUAGAAUGGCUUUCCAUGAAAGAGUAACAGCACGAGCAAAGGUAUGGAGGCCACUCCAAGACAGGUAAAGAGGCUGGGGAGGAUGAGGAGGUUAAUUGGUGGGACCAUGGUUCCAUUAUUAUUUUGAGUGGGACAUAUGGACAUAGGGGACCAUGGGCACCCAGGCCUGUCCCUCCUGCCCCUCUGUCUGCCUGCCCAGUUCCGGCUGAAACGCUGUGGCCUAGGGCACCGAGUGUACCUGGUGGAGGAAUAUGGCUCAGUGCACAAGCUCAGCCUUCCCGAGAGCACGCUGCUACAGGCUGUCACCAAUACUCAGGUCAUCGAUGGAUUCUUUGUGAAGCGCACAGCAGACAUUAAGGAGUCAGCUGCCUAUCUGGCCCUCCUGACGCGGGGCCUGCAGAGAUUCUAUCAGGGCCGUGCCCUCUGCAGUCGCCCCUGGGGAACCCCAGGGGAUGCUGAAUCAGGGUCCAGGCCCUCCCCAGAUCCUGUCUGUUCACUCCUCACCUUCAAUGACUUCAACUCAGGAGCCAUCAAGAACAAGGCCCAGUCAGUGCAGGAGGUGUUUGCCAGGCAGCUGAUGCAGGUGUGUGGAGUGAGUGGGGAGAAAGCAGCAGCCCUGGUGGAUCGGUUCAGCACCCCUGCCAGCAACUCAGAAUGGGCCAGCAGUGUGCCACUGUCAAGCCUUAGAAACUCAAACACCCCAUCCCAUCCCCAGCCUACUGGCCGCCUAUGAUUCCUGUGGCACCCCCAAGGAACAGGAGAUGAUGCUGAGCACCAUCAAGUGUGGGCAGCUACAGAGGAAUCUGGGGCCUGCUUUGAGCAGGACCUUGUCCCAGCUCUACUGCAGCCCCGGCCCCCUGACCUGACCUAUGCCACGAGACAGAUCCCAGCCUCAUCUUCCCAGGUUCGCCAGCCUUUUAAUCUGAAUCUCUUGGGCUACAAUAAAAACCUAAGUGUUUGCAA